rnacentral:sRNA from 1 species
GCCAGGUGUGGUGCACACCUGUAAUCCCAGCAACUCGGGAGGCAGAGAAAGGAGAAUUGCAAGUUGCAGGAGGCCCUAUGCAACUUAGCAAGACCCUGUGUCAA